rnacentral:rRNA from 1 species
GACGAACGCUGGCGGCGUGCCUAAUACAUGCAAGUCGAGCGAACAGAUGAGGAGUUUGCUCCUCUGACGUUAGCGGCGGACGGGUGAGUAACACGUGGAUAACCUACCUAUAAGACUGGGAUAACUUCGGGAAACCGGAGCUAAUACCGGAUAAUAUAUUGAACCGCAUUGUUCAAUAGUUAAAUACGGUUUUGCUGUCACUAAUAGAUGGAUCCGCGCCGCAUUAGCUAGUUGGUAAGGUAACGGCUUACCAACGUAAGGAUGCGUAGCCGACCUGAGAGUGUGGUCGGACACACUGGAGGUGAGACACGGUCCAGACUCCUACGCGAAGCAGCAGUAGGGAAUCUUACGCAAUGGACGAGAGCCUGACGGAACAACGCCGCGUGAGUGAUGAAGGUGUUCGGAUCGGUAAGCUCUGUUAUUAGGGGGGAACAAAUGUGUAAGCAGCUAUGCAGGUAUUGACGGUACCAGAUCAAGAAGCCACGGCUAACUACGUG